rnacentral:rRNA from 1 species
GAUGAACGCUGGCGGCGUGCCUAAUACAUGCAAGUCGAGCGAACAGACGAGGAGCUUGCUCCUCUGACGUUAGCGGCGGACGGGUGAGUAACACGUGGAUAACCUACCUAUAAGACUGGGAUAAUUUCGGGAAACCGGAGCUAAUACCGGAUAAUAUAUUGAACCGCAUGGUUCAAUAGUGAAAGACGGUUUUGCUGUCUCUUAUAGAUGGAUCCGCGCCGCAUUAGCUAGUUGGUAAGGUAACGGCUUACCAAGGCAACGAUGCGUAGCCGACCUGAGAGGGUGAUCGGCCACACUGGAACUGAGACACGGUCCAGACUCCUACGGGAGGCAGCAGUAGGGAAUCUUCCGCAAUGGGCGAAAGCCUGACGGAGCAACGCCGCGUGAGUGAUGAAGGUCUUCGGAUCGUAAAACUCUGUUAUUAGGGAAGAACAAAUGUGGAAGUAACUAUGCACGUCUUGACGGUACCUAAUCAGAAAGCCACGGCUAACUACGUG